UACCUUCUAGAUUGACUCUAGUGCAAGUGGGAGACUGUUGGAGGUAUGCCCUAGAGGCAAUCAUAGAGAUGAUGAUAUUCCAUUUGUAUCCAUGAUUUGUAUGCUGUUUUCAUUGAAUAUCCAUUGAAGGCUACUUGAAUUGAUUUGCAAUUAUGUGAAUUGUAUGUGAAACUCUUUACUUGUAUGGUUAUUCUAAAGUUGUCCCUAGUCGGAGUUCAUGUGAGGACACACAUGAAUAUUAGACUAUCACAUGUAUUAGUUGAUGACUAUGUUUCACAAGUC
rnacentral:lncRNA from 1 species